rnacentral:misc_RNA from 1 species
GUCCAACGUCCUUCUAGAUUUUCUCCUACACGUUACCCAUAUCGACAACAUACAUAGUAUCCCAACGAUAAAUACACCAACACAUAACCCCAUUACAACCCAUAGUUUGAGACCCAAAAAUGAUGUCUUCCUAGACAAAUCACUUUUCAAGUCCCCAGAAGACAUUUCCAGCACAGCAGAUUAAAAGAAAUCAAAAUUCCAGACUCA